rnacentral:rRNA from 1 species
UGGGGAAUAUUGCACAAUGGGGGAAACCCUGAUGCAGCGACGCCGCGUGGAGGAAGAAGGUCUUUCGGAUUGUAAACUCCUGUCGUUGGGGACGAUAAUGACGGUACCCAACAAGAAAGCCACGGCUAACUACGUGCCAGCAGCCGCGGUAAAACGUAGGUGGCAAGCGUUGUCCGGAAUUACUGGGUGUAAAGGGAGCGCAGGCGGAAGGACAAGUUGGAAGUGAAACCCACGGGCUCAACCCGUGAACUGCUUUCAAAACUGUUCUUCUUGAGUAUCGGAGAGGCAAUCGGAAUUCCUAGUGUAGCGGUGAAAUGCGUAGAUAUUAGGAGGAACACCAGUGGCGAAGGCGGAUUGCUGGACGACAACUGACGGUGAGGCGCGAAAGCGUGGGGAGCAAACAGGAUUAGAUACCCUGGUAGU